UGUGUGCAAACCGUUUUGGGUUACACAUUUACAAGCAACUUAUAUAAUAAUACUAAACUACAAUAAUUCAUGUAUAAAACUAAGGGCGUAACCGAAAUCGGUUGAACCGAAA
rnacentral:miRNA from 1 species